rnacentral:rRNA from 1 species
AACGAACGUUAGCGGCGCGCUUAACACAUGCAAGUCGAGCGAGAAAGGGGCAACCCCGGUAAAGCGGCGCACGGGUGAGUAACACGUAGGUAAUCUACCUUCAGGUGGUGGAUAACUUUCCGAAAGGGAAGCUAGUACAGCAUGAGACCACGAUCCCGAAAGGGAACGAGGUCAAAGUCGGCCUCUUCAUGAAAGCUGACGCCAGAAGAUGAGCCUGCGGCCCAUCACGGUAGUUGGUAGGGAAUGGCCUACCAAGCCAAAGACGGGUAGCUGGUCUGAGAGGAUGAUCAGCCACACUGGAACUGAGACACGGCCCAGACUCCUACGGGAGGCAGCAGUGGGGAAUAUUGGACAAUGGGGGCAACCCUGAUCCAGCGACGCCGCGUGGGUGAAGAAGGCCUGCGGGUUGUAAAGCCCUUUCGGUGGGGAAGAAAGUCUCGACCUAAUACGUCGGGACCUUGACGUAACCCACUAAAGAAGCACCGGCUAACUCUGUGCCAGCCGCCGCU